rnacentral:lncRNA from 1 species
AUGCCACGUAAACUUAACGCAAGUUUUUCGUAAAUGCAAUUGUUCAAAUAAUGUAUUUAAAUUUUAACAAUGUAAAGAGUGCACAAAUUUAAGACAAAUUUCAAAUUAAACUCGCACGUUUUGUAACAUGUAAUAGUUCAAAUUUCAUAUCUAACUUUUAUCAAUAUGAAAAAUAAAAUAAAAAAUUGAAUUUAAGACUUCUGUUUACAAUGGAAAGAAAGUUAAGACCAAUUUUUUUUCAAAUUUUUUUUAUAACUAAAUGGAGAUUAUUCAUAAUAUAGAGUACCGCUGUAUGAGGUUUUACAGUAUUACUCUGAGUUAGAAAUCCUACUUUUUAUCACCUUGUUUUGGCCACUAUGUUAAAACUUUAGCUAAUUAUUAUAACACAAUAACUUAAGAGAAAUGUCAACAAGACUCUGUCAAAGGGGGAAUCUCUAAGAAUUAUUUGUCAUCUCACAGUUUUAAGUCGAUUUUCAUAUCAAUAUUAUAAAAUAUUAUGCCAAAAGCAUGAGGUGAAAAAAAGUUCAUACAAAAUCUGUUUUUCAUUUCUCAGAACUUAAAUGGUAAUUAAAGGUGUGAUGUGUGUGUACAAAAGUACAAGUUGAGUAGUUUUACGUUAUGGAUAGUACAAGUUGAGUAGUUUUACGUUAUGGAUAGUGAUGUAAGUGUAAUUGUCCGAACUCGAAAUGCUUUUCAUGAGUUGGGAUAAGAUUAAAGAUUGUACGACACACGCCCGCUCCAACUGCCUUGUUUCCUGCCCUGCUGCCGCCAACUCCUUGUUCCCUAAACUUCCCGCCCAAAUGAUUUUCAUCAACUCCACACUAGCUAGUAGCUUCUAUAUAAUAAUAUAAUAUAAUUUUAAUUAUUUUUCAAAAAUUUCAUUCUCAUCCUUAAAAAGAGAAACGCUAAACUUACUCUCUAUCUGUAUCAUCGAUUUAAAAGGGAUAGGAUCUACUAACACAUGUAGGUCUUAUAUAUAUUUAGAUUAUGGUACAAAUAGAUAAUAAAAAAUAAACCAAAAUUAAGUGAAAUGACACAUGACAAAUGAUUAAGUGUAUGGUAAGCAUACGUGAAAGUUUAUGAUGGUGAG